GACGAACGCUGGCGGCGCGCUUAACACAUGCAAGUCGAGCGAAGCGGCGGACGGGUGAGUAACACGUGAGUAACCUGCCUUAGACAUUGGGAUAGCCUCGGGAAACCGGGAUUAAUACCAACUGGUCUAAGAUGGACUCGCGUCCCAUUAGCUAUUUGGUGAGGUAACGGCCCACCAAGGCGACGAAGGGUAGCCGGCCUGGGAGGGUGAACGGCCACAGUGGAACUGAGAAACGGUCCAAGCUCUACGGGAGGCAGCAGUGGGGCAUAUUGCACAAGGGAGGGAACUCUGAUGCAGCGACGCCGCGUGAACGAAGAAGGCUUUCGAGUCGUAAAGUUCUUUUAUAUGGGAAGCGGUACCAUAGAAGGAAGCCCCGGCUAACUACGUGCCAGCAGCCGCGGUAAUUC
rnacentral:rRNA from 1 species